rnacentral:sRNA from 1 species
AGUUAAUUAUUUUUAUUUUUUGUAGAGACCGUGUCUCCCUAUGUUGCCCAGGAAAAGGAAACUUAAUAAGCUUGGACGAAUAUGCUUCAACUCUAGAAUUCUGAAAAAAAUCAGAAAACUAAAAACUUCUGAAGCUCUAUUUGAAAUCUUGCUUCAAAUUGAGCUCUAAAGUUCCUGUUGCUUCAGACAAUGGAUGAGCAAUCACAAGGAAUGCAAGGGCCGCCCGUUCCUCAGUUCCAACCACAGGCAGGGGAGAAGGAGAAAGAGAAGGAGUUUCUUGCUGUCUCACGGAAGGGAGAAGUAGAAGAAAAUCUACAUAUAAGUGGAUCUGCACAGUUCAAACUUGUGUUGUUCAAGAGUCAACUGUAUAAACAAGUAAUUAAAAGCCUGUGUGAUCCAGGACCCAA